UUCACUAGAUUUUGGAUUUUUGUUUCCUGGAGCAUACAAACACCGAACAUACCUUUGAUAGCUAAUUGAUUUAAGGUUUUCCUCGUGAUUGAGAAUCCACAUCCCUGAAUAUUGAGAGAUAAAAUAUUUAUUGAUCACCUCCCUUGUUUGCCUCAUUCUUACUCUCUGCCUCUUGAUCUCUUUUCUAAAAAAUCCUUAUUGAUUC
rnacentral:lncRNA from 1 species